GAAAGAGGCUCGCAAGCUACGAAUACUGCUAAUUUUCGUCACUUCAGUUGGACUCCGAAGCUCUAUUC
rnacentral:tRNA from 1 species